rnacentral:rRNA from 1 species
UACGUAGGGUGCGAGCGUUAAUCGGAAUUACUGGGCGUAAAGCGUGCGCAGGCGGUUUUGUAAGCCAGAUGUGAAAUCCCCGGGCUUAACCUGGGAAUGGCAUUUGGGACUGCAAGGCUUGAGUGACGGGCAGAGGAGACUGGAAUUCCUGGUGUAGCAGUGAAAUGCGUAGAUAUCAGGAGGAAUACCGAUGGCGAAGGCAG